CCUACGGGUGGCAGCAGUGGGGAAUAUUGCACAAUGGGGGAAACCCUGAUGCAGCGACGCCGCGUGAGUGAAGAAGUAAUUCGUUACGUAAAGCUCUAUCAGCAGGGAAGAAACACUGACCUUACGGUCAGCAGACGGUACCUGAGUCAGAAGCCCCGGCUAACUACGUGCCAGCAGCCGCGGUAAUACGUAGGGGGCAAGCGUUAACCGGAUUUAUUGGGUUUAAAGGGUGCGUAGGCGGAAUAUAAAGUAAGCGGGAAAAAUUCGGGGCGCAACCCCGUCGUGCCGUGGAAACUGAUGUUCUAGAGGGGGCGAGAGGUAUGCGGAAUGCGUGGUGUAGCGGUGAAAUGCAUAGAUAUCACGCAGAACUCCGAUUGCGAAGGCAGCAUACCGGCGCCCAACUGACGCUGAAGCACGAAAGCGUGGGUAUCGAACAGGAUGAGAUACCCCAGUAGUC
rnacentral:rRNA from 1 species